UGUAUUGUUGGUUAUUGCUACAAAUAUACACGUGUGACUUACGACUGGUUUUGUGGUCCAGAGUCACAUAUAUGUUGAUAUACACAUUAUCUUAUUGAUGUAAGCUUCCCCAAUGUUCCCCAUAAAUGCUGUUUAAACAGGACUUGAGUGAGCUUUUGGUGUUGUUUUACAGACAUGUAUGUGAAGCUCUAUGUGGUCAAUGUGGCCACUCAGAAAAGAAUCAUCAAGAAGAAAACCAGAGUGUGUCGUCAUGAUCGCGAACCGUCUUUUAACGAAACUUUCCGCUUCUGCAUGAACCCCACAGGUCAUUCCAUUCAGCUCUUUCUUGUUUCAAACGGAGGCAAGUUCGUAAAGAAGACCCUAAUCGGUGAAGCCUAUGUGUGGCUGGAUAAGGUAGACCUGCGGAAACGGGUGGUGAGCUGGCACAAGCUGCUGGCCAGCACAGCUCAGAUCCACUCCUAAAGACGGCGGUCGGAUGAGGCGCGAGGACAGAACAGGCAGCGGAGUCGCACAUCCCUGCCACACUCUUUGAGACUAAACUGAGCUGAAUUUGGAGGGCCGCAACAGGGAGCUUCCCGAUUGCACUGGCACAUGUGAUUGUGUUAACCCAAGCCAUGGAGAAACAGGUGUAUAAUGGUGUUUACAGAAAGGAUCUGACCCUUAUUGACAAGAUGCAGAUCUUUACAUUGGGAAAAGCUCAAAAAAUUGAGCCAGAGAGUCACACAAUGUUCAUACGUAUAUGUGUACAUGCACUUUCACAAUCGCUCACACUUAUCGACACACAUUUAUACCGAUGUAUGUAUAAUAUUAUGUGUACACUGGGCCACAACAGACAGUUAGUAGUGCAAAUAGAGUGAAAGUUUAUUUAUCCCGUUUGUGCAUUAUUUACAGAUAGAGACGGAUAUCAUAUACAUUAUUUUUGUAUGAUAGAGACAAAUUCUGUUUUAGAUAUUUAUUGUUAUUUUGCAUUCCCUUUCAGAUGUUAUUAUGUGUUGAAAGAACUGAUAUUUAAAGCAUAUUAUCAAUGGAUUAGAAGAGUAUUUUAUGGUAUAUUAUAGACAGAUUUAAAUGAAUGAAAUAUGAUUUAUUGGGUGUUGUGAUGACUCGUUGUGUCAGUAUGGUUAUUAUAACACUUUCAUCUUUCGCUGUGUGAUACUAAAUUCAUCAAAGUCAAGAGAUACAGUUUCAGAGCUCUAGGAAUCAAGAAGCAGAUAAUUACAAAGAAUUUAAACAUUUAAGAAAACUGCCGGGUCUAAUAUGACUCACAGAAAUGAAUGGGAAAUUGAACAGAAAGUGUUCGCUGAUUGUUAUGAUUUGCUAUCUCAUUUGAUGAACGUGACAGACGAAAUAUUUCCGAUAUGCAGCAGCAUCAGUUGAAAAUGUCCAAUCCAGCACUGUUAUAUGAUUUGCACUUUGUGUCUAGCAUUUUACGAAUGUCGGUUGGUAGCUUUUUCGUCAAAAAAAAAAACAUCCUGCCAUUUGAAAAAGUCCAACAAUGUCGAUCCCCCACACAAACUCAUACGCAUCUGUCUCUCAUAAAUACUCAAGGAUUAGAGUUUGAAUGGGUCAGUGUAGUCUCUGUCCACAUCAUAUUGCUUAUACAAUGUUGAUAUUAUGUUUUAUUUAAAAACAAACUCCUAAACACUCAGGUUUCGAUGAAAAAGCCUUGCUUAAAAGUUAUUGGCUGAUCUUUGAUCUAAGCAGGUUCAGCUUAAAGGCGAUAACAGUGAGGAUCAGGGUGAUGACAUCAAAAUGUGUACAUUUUUUAUUUAACCGAUCAUUUUGGCUAACUGUUAUUUUCUUUUCAGUUUACAUGUCUAAAAGGACACAUUUAGACGCUGAGUGCACCAUCUCAUUCUUUCAGCAAAGUGUGGCAAUUUCACAAUGCAGACACUUAAAUCAAAUGCCAUUAGUGUUACGUAUAUGUUGUUCUUAUAUUGGUUUUUAUGCCUUUAAACUUGGGAUGUGUGGAUUCAAACCUUACAACACAUAGCCCAGCCAUUUUACAGCUCAAGCACUUAAUGAUAUUCACUCAAACAUCCAGCGUUAAGGGUUAAGUCAACCUUUAACCUGUGCCAAACUACCAAAAUCCGCAGGUUCUGUGUGUAUGUUAUUCUAUGCAAAUGAAAAUACAUCUGAUGUACUUCUUGUUAAGUGGUAGGAGGACAGAUAAAGCAUUACGUAUGAGGACUUUUUUUUAAUGUUUUUUUCCACAUGGUAGGCCUAAAUAUGUUUGCUUUUAUAUAUUUGGUUGUCUUUUGCUUGAUGCUUGUUUAAUUAAUUUUAUAUUGCUAUUUUGAGGUUAUGUAAUGAGUUUGCAAAAACGUAGUGUUGAUUAACCUACUCAACUAUUUAACUGCUAGUUUUGAGAAUUGAAAUGUACAUAACAAACUGUGUUUACAGGAUCAUAGCAAACUGGUCAUAUUCAUCAUUCACUCAUCACUUUAUCUCACUGCACUCAGCUUUAUAUACGAUGCUCAGCGUUCACUAUAUAUUCUGAUCUCCCGGAAUGUGUUAUAAUUUUUUAUGUUUACAAACUAGAUGAGGGAAAACAAGCAUCAUAUAACAGUUCGUCAUAUGAAUUCAUCGUAACCAGCGCAGCCUCCUUUGAAUAAUCCGCGCAUGCUCCAAUCUCACUUCGCCACACUAACUCCUUCACCUCUGCAAAAAUGAUACAAAAUAAAAUAAAUAAAACGUGUAAAUAAAAAUAAUAAUUUUCUUUUUGUACAAAUAGGAUCUUGUAUUAGUUUUCUGGUUCAGCGAAGAGCAUGUGUGAGGGAAAGAAGCAGAGCGACUGUGUUUUGAUCUGUGUGUUACAUGUUGUACAUGCACUAGGGUAAAAGCUUUCCCCAUGCUUGCCUCUGCUGGACUGGACUGGACUUGACCUGCACAACAGACACAGAAUUAACCCUGUAUAAUAAAGAGCAGAUGUUGACCUUACUGACUCCAAGUAGAAUCAGGAAACGUGUGGUGUUUUCACUUUGGAUGUUGCAUGUUUUGUUGGUGGUUUGUUCAUACUAUUUUUGUGUCCAGAUUCUAUUUACAAAAAGAGAAAAAGAUUAUGAAAAAUUAAUCAGAUCUAAAUAUGUAUGCUGACUGUACAAAGAUAUGCUUGUAUAAUCCGUCUGGUUUUCCACUUAAUGUAAACUGAUGAAAAAAAAAUCCAGCUGUCAUGGUUUUUGUGGUUGUACACAAACGGUAUUGAUAAAUUAUGCAAAUUGUGCUGUAAUAAAGAAUAAUGCCCCAAGUCUAAAUAUUAAAUGAUAUAUGUAAAAUUC